rnacentral:rRNA from 1 species
AGAGUUUGAUCCUGGCUCAGAACGAACGCUGGCGGCGUGGAUAAGACAUGCAAGUCGGACGAGAUUUUUCGUUGUAGCAAUACGAUGGAAAGUCUAGUGGCGAACGGGUGCUUAACACGUGGGCAAUCUGUCUUAAAGUGGGGGGAUAGCUCGGCGAAAGCCGAAUUAAUACCGCAUGUGAUUAGAGUGGACAUCCAUUCAAAAUUAAAGUCGGGGCAACCUGACGCUUUUUGAGGAGCCCGCGGCCUAUCAGCUUGUUGGUGAGGUAACGGCUCACCAAGGCUGUGACGGGUAGCUGGUCUGAGAGGACGACCAGCCACACUGGGACUGAGACACGGCCCAGACACCUACGGGUGGCAGCAGUCGAGAAUUUUUCUCAAUGGGGGAAACCCUGAAGGAGCGACGCCGCGUGGAGGAUGAAGGUCUUCGGAUUGUAAACUCCUGUCAUUGGGGAACAAGUCGCUUACGUUAACUGCGUGAGCGUUGAUAGUACCCGAAGAGGAAGAGACGGCUAACUCUGUGCCAGCAGCCGCGGUGAUACAGAGGUCUCAAGCGUUGUUCGGAUUCAUUGGGCGUAAAGGGUGCGUAGGCGGCGCGGUAAGUCGGGUGUGAAAUCUCGGAGCUUAACUCCGAAACUGCAUUCGAUACUGCCGUGCUCGAGGACUGGAGAGGAGACUGGAAUUUACGGUGUAGCGGUGAAAUGCGUAGAUAUCGUAAGGAAGACCAGUGGCGAAGGCGGGUCUCUGGACAGUUCCUGACGCUGAGGCACGAAGGCCAGGGGAGCAAACGGGAUUAGAUACCCCAGUAGUCC